rnacentral:lncRNA from 1 species
GGACACAGGAAGAGGGAAGCUACUCCUUUGAGCCUCCAGAAAUUGUGAGAAAUAAAUGCUUGUUGUUUAAACUACGCAGUCUAUGGUCUUUUGUUAUAACAGCCCAAACUGCCUAAGACUAAGACAACCAUGGAAGAAAAUUAUAGACUAAAAUAGGAACUUAGCAUUUAGAGAGAAUGAAUUCAUGUAUGUAUUCAUUUUUUUUCCCUAAAGUGUAUGUGUUCUGAUUUGGGUUUUAAAAACUUAUAUGUCCCUUUCAUUAUUACUAUAAAAUAAUACCUACUUUGACAUUAUUAAAUAGUAGAAAGGGCAAAUAACACAAAGUAUCUAGUAAAUUGAAUUAUUCAUAUAUUAAUAAAUAUUUUGAUUAAACUAUAAUUCAAAAGCUUUGCUUUUAAGAAUUUUAGUCAAAUAUUCUCACAACUUAUAGUUUUGAUGAGGAUGUCUUAGCUUUCCUAUGUUUUUCAGCUAACAUUAUUUAUAACAUAUAACAUUAUAUGACCUUAUACAUAAAAUAUAUAUUUAUGCUUUUAUUUUGAUGGAUUUAAUUCCUCUUUUAUCUGUUCAUUAUUCAACAAACAUUUUUGAGCAGUUACACACCAAGCAUUAUAGCAGAUGUUAUUAGUAGGUGCAUAGUAGAUAUUAUUUUGUAUUUUCUAUAAACAUCAUUUUUUAGAUCUAGGCAAAAAUCCACUGGACUCUUCUGUAUAUAGUACUGGUCUAUAUUUGAACUAACAGAACAUUGUACAUUUACUAUAGUUUUCAUUGAGUAAGAUCUUUAAGAUAAUUAAGAAACCAAUUAUUGACAAUUUAUGGUUCUGUACGAAUACUGCCAAUAUCCUAUUCAAAAGCAUUAUGCUACACACACACAUGAGCAUACACACGAAAUUGUGAGAGUGAUUCUUGCAGCUCAUUGUUGCUAGCAUUGGUUAAUAUAUUCUGCUAAUUAGAUUUGUGAAAAAGAUAUUCCUUAUUGUAUCUCUUACUUUCUUGUCUCUUGUUUGCCCAGUUCUCUUGAUGUAUUCCUAAUUGUAUGUUUAUAAAUUAUAUGUUUGUGGUCUGUCUGUUCAUUUACUAGAAUCAUAGUAAUUUUCUUAUCAUAUUGUUUUUUCACUUAAUGACAUAUUAUUCUCUUAGCAUCUUUACUGAAAGAAAUUUUCCAUAGUAGAUUUUGGUCAGAGUUUUUAAACGUCCUACAAAUUUCCCAAUUAACUAAAUUAACAGUAUUUAUAUAGAAUGAGUUGGUCUCUUUUCUGCUUUGGUGGAGACUCUCCUGGUGGUUUUUCAUGUGUUUUCUUGUACUUUGUGAGUUUAUCUUCAGGGUGUAUUGUCUUCUCUGGGAGUUUUGCAGGUAUCCUCUUUUUAUAAGUACUAUGGGCAGAUUUUUUUUAAAUUUUAUUUUAUUUUUUAUUUCCCCAGUACAUUAUUAUUUUUUUUUCUACUGUACAGCAUGGUGACCCAGUUACACAUACAUGUAUACAUUCUUUUUUCUCACAUUUUCAUGCUCCAUCAUAAGUGACCAGACAUAGUUCCCAGAUUUUGUUUUUAAUUCUGCUGGGAUCCAUUCGAUUGUAUUGGUUCUAGUUGGAUUUUCAUGUUAAUGUCUCUUGAGACUCAAGUUUUCACUGGGAUGGGCAGCACCCGAUUUCUUUUCAGUGACUGUUUGGCCACCUAUGGCCAAGUGUAGGCAGCCUGCCUCCGUGCCAUGUCCGUGGGCCAGGGGCAUUUUUAGAUUUCCAAUUUUAAGAGAGCAAAAGUCCCAUCUUAACUCAGACCCAUGCAAGGAGUACACUUCCUACCACCUGUAAUGCUGGGGACCACUUUACAUCCCAGUGUUUCACAGACAUACAACAUCAGCUCACAUGAGUGAAUCAUCAACUGCUACUUUUAACCUCUCUCUUUUCUCCAUCUCAUGUUUCUGGCACGUCAUUUCUUAUCUUUGCUCUGCUCUCAACUAUAUAUUUUGAAUGUUUUUGAUAUAUUAUUUGUGAAGCCUAUUGAUGGGUGAUUUGUUAUAUGACUAACAAAUUAUUCUAUCAUGCAUAAUUUUUGAGGGUUAUUUUUGCCAUUUCUGUUACAAAGGUGAUCAUUCAUAUUACACACACUUUUUGUUGCUUACUGUAUUCACUAAUAUAUCUUAGAGUAUUUUUUUUAGCCUUUAGAAAUUUACUUUCUUCCUCAUGAAUGCACAAGGCUUUUUGCUUCUUUGUUUGUUUUAACCUAUGGAUGAUCCAUAGUCUGUUUAACUGAUUAUCCUCAUUUGAAUAUAUUUCUGCAUUUCCUAACAAUAGCAAAAAGAUUGUCCUGUACUUACUUCUUCUGAUCAUUGGGUCAAAAAUAAAGCAAAAGUAUUUAAAUAUUGCCAAAUGUUGUCAACUCCUCUCUAGAAAAGUUGCAUCCAUUAAUUUAAUUUAUCACCAGAAGAUUAUGAACAUUUUUAUUUGUUACGCCUUUGAUAUUACUAGAUACUAUGAAAUUUCUUAACUGUCUCUUACAUAAGUGGAAACUUAAAAUUCUAUAACUAUGAUCUUAAUUUUGUUCCCGUCAUGGCUCAGUGGAAAUGAGUCUGACUAGGAACCAUGAGGUCACAGGUUCAAUCCCCGGCCUCACUCAGUGGGUUAACAAUCUGGCAUGGCUGUGGCGUAGGCUGGCAGCUAUAGCUCUGAUUAGACCCCCAGCCAUAUGCUG